rnacentral:rRNA from 1 species
UAUCAAUAAGCGGAGGAAAAGAAACCAACAGGGAUUGCCCUAGUAACGGCGAGUGAAGCGGCAAAAGCUCAAAUUUGAAAUCUGGCCUCUAGGGGUCCGAGUUGUAAUUUGCAGAGGAUGCUUUUGGUAGAGCACUAUCCGAGUUCCCUGGAAUGGGACGCCACAGAGGGUGAGAGCCCCGUCUGGUUAGCUGCAAAGCCUCUAUAAAGCUCCUUCAACGAGUCGAGUAGUUUGGGAAUGCUGCUCAAAGUGGGAGGUAUAUGUCUUCUAAAGCUAAAUACCGGCUAGAGACCGAUAGCGCACAAGUAGAGUGAUCGAAAGAUGAAAAGCACUUUGAAAAGAGGGUUAAAUAGUACGUGAAAUUGCUAAAAGGGAAGCACUUACAACUAGACGUGGGGGCGUGCAAUCACCUAGUGUUCGUACUAGGGCACUUGGGCGCCUCUAGGCUAGCAUUAGUUUGCUGUAGGGGAUAAAGACGCUAGGAACGUAGCCCCCUCGGGGGUGUUAUAGCCUAGCGUAUAAUGCCCUAUGGCAGACUAAGGUCCGCGCUCUGCAAGGAUGCUGGCAUAAUAGUUGUUAGUGACCCGUCUUGAAACACGGACCAAGGAGUCGUCCUCGUAUGCGAGUGUUUGGGUGUUAAACCCGUGCGCGGAAUGAAAGUAAACGUAGGUGAGAGCCCUCUAGGGCGCAUCACCGACCGAUCCUGAUGUUCUCGGAUGGAUUUGAGUAAGAGCAUACGGGGCCGGACCCGAAAGAAGGUGAACUAUGCCUGCGUAGGGUGAAGCUAGAGGAAACUCUGGUGGAGGCUCGCAGCGGUUCUGACGUGCAAAUCGAUCGUCAAACGUGGGCAUGGGGGCGAAAGACUAAUCGAACCUUCUAGUAGCUGGUUUC